rnacentral:rRNA from 1 species
UACGGAGGAUCCGAGCGUUAUCCGGAUUUAUUGGGUUUAAAGGGUGCGUAGGCUGGUAAUUAAGUCAGUGGUGAAAUACUCCGGCUCAACCGGGGGGCUGCCGUUGAUACUGGUUACCUUGAGUUUAGAUGAUGUGGGCGGAAUGUGUCAUGUAGCGGUGAAAUGCAUAGAGAUGACACAGAACACCGAUAGCGAAGGCAGCUCACAAAGCUAUUACUGACGCUGAUGCACGAAAGCGUGGGGAGCAAACAGGAUUAGA